UACGUAGGGUGCGAGCGUUGUCCGGAAUUAUUGGGCGUAAAGGGCUCGUAGGCGGUUUGUCGCGUCGGGAGUGAAAUCCACUGGCUUAACUGGUGGCUUGCUUUCGAUACGGGCAGACUGGAGGUAUGCAGGGGAGAACGGAAUUCCUGGUGUAGCGGUGAAAUGCGCAGAUAUCAGGAGGAACACCGGUGGCGAAGGCGGUUCUCUGGGCAUGUCCUGACGCUCAUGCACGAAAGCGUGGGGAGCGAACAGG
rnacentral:rRNA from 1 species